AUGUCAAGUAUCACAACACAUGCAUUAUAAUAAUCAAAGUACAAAAAACAUUGCAUUAAUAGUAAUAGUUUUACAUGGUUUACAUUACAAUACAUCAAAGUAAUACAAGUAAUAAUAUAAGUGCAGCUUGGUACUAAGCUAUCUUCAUCAACAACUCUGGGAAUGUACCUGUCUAAUGCUGACCUGAGAAUACAAGUUAUUUGAAAAGCGAGUAUCAGCAUUUUUACAAAUGCUGGUGAGUUCAUAAGUAUUUAGUGUCAUUUUAUUCAAAUAACUUUAAUAAAAGUGGUAGUUUUAAAGUAUCCAUUAAAUUAGUGUCUUUUCCAUAAAAUUCUAUAUUUUCUUUAAUAAAAACAGUCUUCUACCAAGACUGGACGGAGUUAUGUGGUAAAAAGUAGUUUUCCCUUAAUUGCUAUCAUUAUCAAAAUACAGAAUUUGAUUAUUAAAGAAAGCAAGAGAAAUCAGGGAAAAUAACAUAUGCCUCAGCAGUGAAGACUGCUGACUAAGGCAAAAGGAAUCAUAGACUCCAGGAGAGUAUCGAACGAACGACACCCUUGGCAUCAAUCUAACAAAGGGAGACACAGACCCCAGACGGUACCAAAUGAAAGGUACAGCUGGCAAGGUCUAAACAGGGAAUACAGACCCCAGACAGUAUCAAAUGAAAGAUACAACUAGUAAGGUCUAAAACAAAGAAUACAGACCCCAGACAGUAUCAAAUGAAAGAUGCAGCUAACAAGGUCUAAAAAUAGUGUGACUCUCAGAGUGGGUUUACAGCAUACAGUGUAAAUUGCUGGUGAAAUACCGUUACCUUAAGGCCAUGAAUUAUAAGGUAACCUGGGAUACUUGUAACCAUACUAACUGACACUAGAGUACUUGACGCCCUGCAAGCUUCUAUGAAAUAUGACAUUUGUCACCCCUUGGCUUGGUAGGCCGUGGACUGUAGCUAGCAGUCAGGGUGCGGGGGUGUCAAUCCCGUAUAGAUCUAUACACACAAUGUUCACUCUCCCUACAAGAGACUCUGGUUACCAACUAGACCACGGAGAAGGCCAUGUCCCGAAGAUGCAUCCCAAAUAGUGGGUAGUGGGUUUCCAAUAUAAUUGCUGAACUAGAGGUAGAGACUCCUAACUGAACUGACUAAUAUAAACCUAUAUGUCUAUGCUUGUAUACAUAAUAUAUAACUAAUGAAUCAAACGACCUUCGAACGGCCAUCCGAUCCCACCAGAACACAUCUCAACGAAGAAAAGGAAAUAGGGCGGACAAGCAUUCCUAAGUCCUUCAACCAUUAUUUAUAUGCAUCUAUACAAGCACAGGCAUACAUCUAACUACGUCUGAGUGUGUAACAAGUGGAAACGUAUCGUGAAGUAUAACCGAAUCGUGAUGUAUAAACGUACAGUGUGGAAUAACCGAAUCGUGAAGUAUAAGCGUUACCAAAUAUAAGUGUAUCACGAAGUAGAAGCGACAACAAGAGAAGUAAGAGCGUCUAACAGGCAUAAGCGACUACAAGUAUAAGCAAAAUAAAGGCAAUAAAAAGUAUAAACAUAUCAUGAAGUGGAAGCGUUAUCAAGUAGGAGUUUAAAUUAAGAGAGAGUAUCAAAACAUUGAAGAAAACCUUUAUUCUUGAGAAAAUCACAACUUGGUGUUCUUUGGUAAAAUAAGCUUGAAAACCUUUAGAAAUUCUUUGGAAACUUUUCAUAAACUUGUUUAAAAUGAACUUUGAUAAAACAAUAUAAGUAAGAGGUUUGAACAAGUGAAAACAUUUUAGAAAACCGUUUAUAGUAUCCUACUUGGUAAAACAAUUCACAGUGUGGUAAAUCCUUGUGCAUGCGGGUUAUCAAUCACAUGUGAUUGAUAUGAUAACUGGCAUGUUUAACUUGUACCCCCCCCCUUAUAAAACAUGUAAAAACAUAUAAAAAGGUUCAUUCAGGGGUAUGAACUCACCUGGUGUAAGUGGAUCCGACGAAGGUGCCGGUUGGGUGCUCGGUGUCAAGUAAAGACUUGAACACACUUAGUGACCUAUUUAACAUAUGAUAACAUAUGUUCACAUACAAUUAGUACAUUUAAUACUAAUUAAACAAGUAUACGCUUCCUAAGUGCAAAAACACUUUUAAUUAAGCGUUAGGGGUGUCCCGGGUAACAUCUAAGGAUGUGUAUGGCUUGAAUAAGGAGUUUACUCUCCUAAAACUCACUUUAUAUGAGUUCACGGCUGGGAGACCAUAUUCCCCACGAGUUUACGGCCGUAAACUCAUGGGAGGAUUGUUUUAGGAUGAUUUCAAGUCCCAAAUGCUUCUAGAAAUGGUUUUAAGUAAUUAUCCAAGGCUAUAGGAGUGUUUAGGGUUCUGAGAGUGCACUCCCUUGGAGUUUAUGGUCCAAAUGACCACUCCUUGGGAGUUUACGGCCGUAAGCUCUAUGGCUUGGCCGUAAACUCUCUUACACCCACAAAACUUGAUGUUAAGGCCCUUGGUUCAAUUCUAGUAAUUUGCAAUAAAAGUCUAACGCCAUUUGGGGGAUUUAAACUACCAUUUGGCAUGGUUUGGGGGUGUUUACGGCCUAAGCAUAUGCUUGGGCCAUAAACUCCAUUUUAUCCCUCAAAUCUAUGUGUUUGUUUGUUCCAAACCUGAAAUAGCAAGUCCCUAAUUUAUGUCUUAAGCCUAAGGGUGGUUUGGGAGUAUUUUUGGGGCAUUUUUGCAAGGAUAAGAGGUGUUUACGGCCUAAGCAUGUGCUUGGGCCGUAAACUCUCUUUUAUGCCCUAAAACUUUGUGUUUUGAUGAUUAAACACUCCUAGAUAAAUUCCCUAACUAGUAUCCAAGCUCAAAUAAGGAAGAAUCGGGACCGUUGGCCACUUUUUGGGUGUUUACGGCCUAAGGAGGCUCUUACGCCGUAAACUCCUUUUCCUUGUCCUUUUCAUGAGAUUUUUGAGCUAUAACAACAAUAAUGCAUGUUUAGAACAAGUUAGGGUUGAAGGUCUUACGUUUAGGAGCCGGAAUUCACGGUUUUUGGCACGAAAAAUGUAUCGUAGAGAGAGGGUGAUAUAGAAGUGGAAAAAGGGUGGAAUGAAGUCCACUCCCCCUUAUAUAUGGGUUGGAGUUGGAGCUCAGUGGGAAUCUACCCGAUGCUGCCGUUAUACGGGGCUUUUGGAUGCACCCGAUUUAGUGGUCGUAAUAAAAUUUAACUUUUUCCAAAUUACUAUGGAAAUGUAAUUUAAGUGUUUUUAUUUACUUUAUUACGACUAUAACGAUAUAAAAAAAUAUAAAUAAAUAAAACAUUUAUUUAUUUGGCAACCUCUUAAUUAACGGAACUUUUAUAAAAUGGAAUAUUCCGUUAACGGUAACGGGGUAAUGUAACGGAAUUAACUUUGGGUUGUCACAUCAUCCCCCCGUUAGAGGGAAUUUCGUCCCGAAAUUCACGUCUAGGCAAGGUAGUAGGUAUGAAUUGCCGAGUAGAGGCAGGAGGGUACUUCCUAUUUUGUUUGUCCUCGCACUCCCAAGUGAACUCUGGCCUGUGCUUGUCGUUCCAACAACCUUCACCUAUGGGAUGCGGAUUCUGUCUCAUGUAGUUAGCGGGUUCCGACUGGUGUAUCUACGAGGUUAGGGUUCUCAAUGGUUUCUAUCAAGAUGAGUGGGAUACCAAGAGUGACGUCGGGUAAACACAUAUCAAGUCUAAGGAGUGGAUCGAUCGGGUGUGAAACUUGUGGAAUAUCCGAAAGUAGUAGUGGUUUGACGAGGGUUGGACCAAUCUCCGUAAAGGAUCUCGGGUGGUCCUAAGCUCUCGGAAGGGUAGAGCUUUUCAGUACCUAGAACAUAGUGUACUUCUAUGGCAAGAUCAUCACUGACGUGAUCGCCAUUCUGAAGUUCCUAAUGUUCUCUCUCAUACUGGUAGUGUAGUCCUUCAGGUUGGUUCUUAGGAAGCUCGGGUUGUCUUUGGUUUCGCGUUUCUUGUCAAUUGGCUUUUAGAGACUUUCUAGAUCAUCGGAUGGGUUGUGUGACUACGGGUAUCUGUUUGCUAUAGAGUGUCCAUCUCAAUCUCGUGCAAAAUGAACUUGCACUUCUGGUUCUUGAGAUAUUUCUGACGGAAACCCUUAGGGUCGAGGAGAUAGGGUUUCACCGGACGAGUGUUGGACUAUCUCGAGAGGUGGUUCUACUAUUUCUGGGCGAGAGAGUAUUCGUGGAACACCUAGUAGUCCAAUGAAUCUCUACGACGUUGGUUUAUUUCAGUGCGGACAGCGGUUGCUCUUGUAUAACCCAUUGACUAACACCUAGGCUGGUGUCAAGUCUAUAAUCUCUUUGGGAUCUGGGUUAUGAGACUUAAUGGCACUACUAUCGCACUUUGAUCAAGUAUUCUUGGUGGCGACGGUUAUCCUGUGGUUCUCGGUAUUCUAGUGUUCGCUUCGGAGAAUGCAGUCUAUCGUCUACAAGGCGACGGUGACUUCCUCCAUGCGAGAGGGUGAAGGAUCCUAGGCACUACUUGUCUGUAACAGGGUGGACGAAGUGCCUGAGUAGUGCGAACAUCUUUGGCAACUACUCUUCUGAAGGUUCUGAUUUUUCUCGGUCUAGGUUAAAUCUAGUGAGCAUAGGGUUCCAUCACUCGGAACUUUAGUCUUCUCAUCCACUCUUCUCAGAGUUUAAUUUAUCGCAGCUCUCGGAUUUCCGGGAUAUUCGCUGCGAUGCUUAAUUCGGGGGAUUAAGCGUGAAUGGAUGGUCGUAGUCAAUGUCCUUGACUCUUACGACUCAGAUUUCUUUACCAACCGAGGGUGUUAGCUACUAUGUUGGCUCAAGCGAAAUGACAACAACUUCGGAUUUGUGGUCAUUAUAGUAGCUCAAUCUGUAGGGGUUCUCUUGACUCUAGAUCCCGUUCCAUGGGAUAGGAUGAAGGGUCUUUCUAGGGAAUCUACUAGGUAUGCUUCGGGUGGUUAUCAUCUUCUGGAAUGCAUGUAGUGCCUUUCGCUUCGGUUCGUAUCUGUCUAAGGAGGGUUGGUUAACAGCACGUGGUACCCCUCUCCUAGGUACUUUGGAAGGUUUGAAAUAAGAGUGACGACUGACGGAUCGCAUUAGUCUUAAUUAUUUUUAUUUUGUUUAGGUUCGGAAGAACCUUUAUUUGCCGAAAGGGCUAUGGAGAAAGUUCUUUUUACACAGCACUAAGGAUUUACAUAAGGCUGAACGAAGUCAAACCAUGAUCGAUAGAGUCGUCGAAGUUGGCAUACCUCGACAUGAUAUAAAAUGAAGAUCGAUAGAGUCAUGCGCCGAACAGGCACACAAGUUCUAGGCAUCUCGGGUUUCGUCCUGUGUAUCACUGCCGCGGAUACUUGGACUGAUAGAGUCGACACGGAACUAUAGAGAGUCCUAAGUGUUCUUAAUAGAGUACCUUUUUCAUGAAUGGAUUCUCACAAGGCAUUUCUAUAAUCGCCUAACAUAUACUAGUCAUGUAUAAUUAAGGUGGGGAGGACUGUUGACUGAGCGACUCCGCCCUAAAUCCACAACCAAAUGAGGAAUAGGAAAUAAGGGGGCAUUCACUCACUCUAGGUCUAUCCAUCUUAACUAUACAUGGCUGUAAUGUAUAUGUUUAGCCAUUAUAGUUUUACCUGAUGAAUUUUAAAUUUUAUAACAGUGCUGCGACUUUCGCCUUAAUGGGGAAGUAUUUACAUUUGAAUUAGCCUUUUAAUUUUUUGCGUUAGUUAUUUGAGAUCGAGAGACGUACCAAAAUCUACCAGGUUCCUUGAUGCUUCUCCCUAAGCAUUAGAGCCAGACUCCUCUUGUGUCCUUGUCUUUUCCUUUGGUUGGGCAGUCCUUCUUGAAGUGUCCAAUCUCACCACACAGGUGGCAAAUUGUAUUGAUCGCCGCAUUGGUGGUUGAUGUAAUGAACUCAACCGGCGUUCUGCAGACGCGAGCAGUAUGACCCAACAUGUGGCACCUAGCACAAUAGAGCUCCCGGCAUACACCAUGAUGAUGGUAGCUUCACUUGCUGCAGUGGGGAAGGUUUCCUAGGUAUGGUCUCCUAGACGUAGGGAUGGAAGGGUUGGCAAGGAAUUUGAACAUCUCAGCUCGUUGCGCUUCAGAAGGUCCUUGAGCCGAGGUACUUCCCUCCUCGAUCUUGAUCUUUCUCUUCAGUGGAGUUGAGUGAGGUUCUUGGGCGGCUGGGUAUGCAGAGGUUGGUUGCUGCUGUCCACUACUAGGAUCGGAAUAUCCGAUAGGGCUCUUACUAACAUUGGCGUUGCUAGCAUUCAGUUGAGCCAUGAAAGCUGCUACGGCUGCUGAGACCGCAGCUUGGAAAGUAGCUUCAUCGAAUAGGAGAGUAGGUUUCUUGCUUGUGGACUGGUUACGCUUCUUCGACGGCAUGGUUUUUCCUACGCGGAAAGGAAUACAAGAUAAUGAGAGAAGAUGGCUAGCCCUGGAGAUAUCUGUCCUGACUGCAUUAGGCAUAAAUUUUUCCCGUGCCUCUGGUACUGGUUAUCUGAGUGUCGACCUACAUCUCUAUGAUGUAUUCCUGGUAAUCAAGGUAGGAGUAUGAGUAUCGGAAAGGCCAUAAGAUGCGAGUCGUUCCUACUAAGUUACCUUUAUACUGGGAAAGGUUUCACUCUCCAGCCUGGAAAGAUUUGAGAACAGCUCGGAACGAAGACCGCAGGAAGAAAGGCUCAUGAAGACUUAUGUCCAAACAACCUCAAUAGAGGUGUGUGGGUCCGCUCUAAUUGUGUAACUGGCAACGGGAAACGACGAUUCACCUAACACAUAGCGUGAGUAGUGUAACCACUAACUCACUAAAUUUGUAUUAUUUUAUGGGUGUAUUAGCGUGACGAACACGAGGAAAAAGACACUUCCCGGGUUCCAUGUACUGGCUCCCUCUGUCUGCCUUGUAUCUUUGAAUGGAAUCGGCGUUGGUUUCCUUCGGGUAGUUACCUAGGGUUCUCUUCUCGUAUGGACAUACUGAAUCAGUCUCCGCCUUACUUUCGAAUCCAUCUCCGGGUGUCAUCACUUCAUGAUGGAUGACUGGGAAUCUCGGAAGUUUAGGCGAAUUUCUCACCGAUGUCCCUAAAAAGAUAUAGGCACUUGGUGAUUUCAAUAGUCUCGACCCAGUUCAUUUAGUUCCGAACUGGAAAUCUUCUCAAUGAACUUCUUCGGGGCCGGAAUCAACUCUUCUAUCAAGCACUGAAGUGGAUAGGGUUUUCUACAGGGUUCGUGCGAGAAUGGAAAUGUCUAAAGAAUCCUAAGAGAUUAUUAACAUUUCACUGAGUGAUCCAUAUCGAGUCCUGCUACAAUUACAUAGGGUACACAAAUCAUAUAUAGCUUAGAUCCGAUAGGCCUUCGAAUAUGUGAUACUACUCUAUAUCCACAUCCCAACGAGGAAAAGGAAGUAGAGCGAAACCACACAUUCUUAGCCUAUGGGAUCCUUAUUAUAUAUAACCUUGGAAGUAUACCCUCUGUAGUUGUAGGUAUAUCAAUAAGGAUCUUUUUAGUUCUUCACACAAGGUUAUCUAUGUAUCCUAAAAUACCCCUAUGGUAUUUUAAUUUCUUGUUUGUGUUCUUAUCUUCUGAAUAUGAUUCUGGGAUUAGUGUGAGUCUUUUAGUAUUCCAAAAUACUCCUGUAGUAUUUUAAACUUUAUGUUUGGCUCUAUCAGUCCUAAUUGGUAAGUUUCAGACCUGUUGCAACACCACUAUAACUCCCAAGCACACGUUCAUCACAUCUCGAAUAAAUGUAGUUGAUCAGGUUACAUUUAUUCCAGCUUACGAUUACAUAACUGCCCAGGUGUGACUGUAGUGAUCAACAUCUGAAGACUUUUAUUAUUGCUCUUCUUGUGAUACUUUUGUUCGAGUGUUUAGGUUCUGGAUGUUCUUAUACUUUGGUAAAAUAUGGUUAUAUUUUAAAGUAUAAUUCUUGGUCAGAGUGUUUUAUCCCUUUGUAUUUAUAGGCUGUAUAUCUUUUAUGAAUUGAUAUACUUAGCUCACUAUAAACAAUGCUCUGAUACCAAUCUGUCACACCCCAAAACCGGAACGGCGGAAACGUUCUGGGGUGGAUGACGUCAUGUCAAGUAUCACAACACAUGCAUUAUAGUAAUCAAAGUACAACAAACCAUUGCAUUAAUAGUAAUAGUUUUACAUGGUUUCCAUUACAAUACAACAAAGUAAUACAAGUAAUAGNCUAAGCUAUCUUCAUCAACAACUCUGGGAAUGUACCUGUCUAAUGCUGACCUGAGAAUACAAGUUAUUUGAAAAGCGAGUAUCAGCAUUUUUACAAAUGCUGGUGAGUUCAUAAGUAUUUAGUGUCAUUUUAUUCAAAUAACUUUAAUA
rnacentral:lncRNA from 1 species